rnacentral:tRNA from 1 species
CCUUUCUUAGUAUAUAAAAGUACAUAUAGCUUCCAACUAUAAAGAUUAUAUUUAAAGAAAGAA